GACGGAGGGUGCAAGCGUUGCUCGGAAUCAUUGGGCGUAAAGGGUGCGUAGGCGGCUUCUUAAGUCUGGCGUGAAAGCCCAGGGCUUAGCCUUGGAAGUGCGCCAGAAACUGGGAGGCUAGAGUGCCGGAGGGGAGAGUGGAAUUCCUGGUGUAGCGGUGAAAUGCGUAGAUAUCAGGAGGAACACCGGUGGCGAAGGCGGGUCUCUGGGCCGAUACUGACGCUGAGGAGCGAAAGCGUGGGGAGCGAACAGG
rnacentral:rRNA from 1 species